rnacentral:rRNA from 1 species
GAGCUUGCUUCUCCGGAUGAGUUGCGAACGGGUGAGUAACGCGUAGGUAACCUGCCUGGUAGCGGGGGAUAACUAUUGGAAACGAUAGCUAAUACCGCAUAAGAGUAGAUGUUGCAUGACAUUUGCUUAAAAGGUGCAAUUGCAUCACUACCAGAUGGACCUGCGUUGUAUUAGCUAGUUGGUGGGGUAACGGCUCACCAAGGCGACGAUACAUAGCCGACCUGAGAGGGUGAUCGGCCACACUGGGACUGAGACACGGCCCAGACUCCUACGGGAGGCAGCAGUAGGGAAUCUUCGGCGAUGGACGGAAGUCUGACCGAGCAACGCCGCGUGAGUGAAGAAGGUUUUCGGAUCGUAAAGCUCUGUUGUAAGAGAAGAACGAGUGUGAGAGUGGAAAGUUCACACUGUGACGGUAUCUUACCAGAAAGGGACGGCUAACUACGUGCCAGCAGCCGCGGUAAUACGUAGGUCCCGAGCGUUGUCCGGAUUUAUUGGGCGUAAAGCGAGCGCAGGCGGUUAGAUAAGUCUGAAGUUAAAGGCUGUGGCUUAACCAUAGUACGCUUUGGAAACUGUUUAACUUGAGUGCAAGAGGGGAGAGUGGAAUUCCAUGUGUAGCGGUGAAAUGCGUAGAUAUAUGGAGGAACACCGGUGGCGAA